GGGCUUGUGGUUUAGUGGUAUAAUACUCCCUUAGCAUCAUGAGUCCUCUAUAGGUUGCUCAAUGUGUGGGAGUGGUCCGGGGUUCGAUUCCCCGCGAGUCCA
rnacentral:tRNA from 1 species